rnacentral:rRNA from 1 species
GACGAACGCUGGCGGCGUGCUUAACACAUGCAAGUCGAACGGAAAGGCCCUUCGGGGUACUCGAGUGGCGAACGGGUGAGUAACACGUGGGUGAUCUGCCCUGCACUUUGGGAUAAGCCUGGGAAACUGGGUCUAAUACCGAAUAGGACCACGCGCUUCAUGGUGUGUGGUGGAAAGCUUUUGCGGUGUGGGAUGGGCCCGCGGCCUAUCAGCUUGUUGGUGGGGUAAUGGCCUACCAAGGCGACGACGGGUAGCCGGCCUGAGAGGGUGACCGGCCACAGUGGGACUGGUAUGGGCCACAGCCCCCAGGGGGGGGAGGGGGGGGGAAAUAGUGCACAGUGGGCGCAGGCGUGAGGAGGGGGCGCGGGGGGGGGGAUGACGGCUUUGGGUUGGAAACCCUCUUCAAGUAGGGACGAAGCGAAAGGGACGUUACCUAAAAAAGAAGCCCCGGCAAGCUCCGUC